rnacentral:rRNA from 1 species
GAGGAAAAGAAACUACCAAGGAUUCCCCUAGUAACUGCGAGUGAAGAGGGAAAAGCUCAAAUUUAAAAUCUGGCAGCUUCGCUGUCCGAGUUGUAAUUUAGAGAAGUGUUACCCGCGUUGGACCGUGUAUAAGUCUCCUGGAAUGGAGCGUCAUAGAGGGUGAGAAUCCCGUCUUUGACACGGACUACCAAGGCAUUGUGGUGCGCUCUCGAAGAGUCGAGUUGUUUGGGAAUGCAGCUCUAAAUGGGUGGUAAAUUCCAUCUAAAGCUAAAUAUUGGCGAGAGACCGAUAGCGAACAAGUACCGUGAGGGAAAGAUGAAAAGAACUUUGGAAAGAGAGUUAAACAGUACGUGAAAUUGCUGAAAGGGAAACGCUUGAAGUUAGUCGCGUUAGCCAGGGAUCAGCCUUGCUUUUGUGAGGUGCACUUCCUGGUUGACGGGUCAGCAUCAGUUUCGACCAUUGGAAAAAGGCUUGGGGAAUGUGGCACUUUCGGGUGUGUUAUAGCCCCUUGUCGUAUACAGUGGUUGGGACUGAGGAACUCAGCACGCCGCAAGGCCGGGUUUCGACCACGCUCGUGCUUAGGAUGCUGGCGAAAUGGCUUUAAGCGACCCG